GCUGCCGUUACUGCUGCUCAUCUAGGGGAAACGAGAAGGAAUACCUGCUUUCCAACUUAGACUCCAGGGAGGGACUUCAGUAAGUGAGAGAGAGUGUGUGUUACUGGCUUCAUGUGUGUGUGUGACUGGCUGCAUGUGACUGUGUGACACUGCUGCUCUUCUAGGUGAAGCAAGAAGGAAUCCCUGCUUCCCCAACUUAAG